rnacentral:lncRNA from 1 species
GCACAGCGUGGUAAGGGCAAAUAAGAGAGCUGGGAAAGAUAGAAGGUCACUUAGAGUAGAGCCACCUUGAUGGAAAGAUACUUUCACCACGGCCUAAGAGGCAGGAAAGUAGCCUGUUUGCCAUGGAGCACAGUGGUCACAAGGCAAUCUGAUUACAUCUGGUCUAUAACACUAGGCACUUGGCUUCUUCCUCUCUUCAACCCCAGGCCAGUGCACCACCAUUCAGGAGCUCUGAGCUCACCUUCCAAAUAGCACUUCUGCUUUAAUGGAUGAAUCUUUAAAAGAAAGGAAAAGAAAAGAAAAGGAAAGAGAAAAAAGUGUAUGAGUGUUUUACCUGCGUAUGGGUCAGUGCACCACAUGCUUGCCUGGUGCCUGGGGGGCCAAAUCAAGGUGUCAGAUUCCCUGCAGCCAGAGUUAUAGACAGUUGUGAGCCUCCAUGUGGGUGCUAUAGAUCAAAUCCAGGUCCUCUAAGAUAGCAGCCAUUGUUCUUAACUGCUAAGGCAUCUUUCUAGCACCUGAGAACUAAGUUGUGACUUUAAGAUGGGUGCAUGCAGGUUUGGAAAUUCCAGAAAGAAGAAAUGGGAAAUUCCACACGUAAAGGAGGAGAGCAGAAAGGUAGCGUGGUGGAUGUUACCCUUAGUGGUCUUCGGGGUUCUCCAAAUCUGUAUGAGGUGGCAGUGUCAGAAAAGGGAACAUCAAUUCCUAGACUGUGUACUCUUGGCAAAUCUAGCCUUUCUCAGGUUUGACGUGGGCUAGCCCUUCCUUUAGAAACCUAUGUAGCAUUUCUGUCCUUCAGAGGCUCACAGUCUGGAGAAGAAGUGACAUGAAGCAGAGAAGCAAGCAAAUAAUUAUGCUCUCAGAUAUACUCUGAAAGAAUAAAAAUACAGUAUAUUUAUAGAGGAAUUAACAGUAGGCAUGGAAGAAGGUAGCAUUGCUAGAGGGAGGAAAACU